GGAACAGAACGUCACAGAGGGUGAGAAUCCCGUGCGAUGAGAUGUCCCAGACCUAUGUAAAGUUCCUUCGAAGAGUCGAGUUGUUUGGGAAUGCAGCUCUAAGUGGGUGGUAAAUUCCAUCUAAAGCUAAAUAUUGGCGAGAGACCGAUAGCGAACAAGUACAGUGAUGGAAAGAUGAAAAGAACUUUGAAAAGAGAGUGAAAAAGUACGUGAAAUUGUUGAAAGGGAAGGGCUUGA
rnacentral:rRNA from 1 species